rnacentral:rRNA from 1 species
GACAGAGGUGCCAAGCGUUAGGCGGAAUCACUGGGCUUAAAGCGUGUGUAGGCGGGUCGUUAAGUACCUUGUGAAAUCCCACGGCUCAACCGUGGAACUGCUCGAUAUACUGGCGAUCUUGGGCCACUUAGGGGCUAGCGGAACAAACGGUGGAGCGGUGAAAUGCGUAGAUAUCGUUUGGAACGCCAAUGGUGAAAACAGCUAGCUGGGAGUGUGCCGACGCUGAGACACGAAAGCCAGGGGAGCGAACGGG